rnacentral:rRNA from 1 species
AUGAGGGGAGGUAAGGAACUGCCAUCUAGCUCUGCACUUGAUUCACCUUCUGUUAUGAGUAAACUUGCGACACCUACUUCUGCCAUUCAUUCUGAUAUGUCGCAUGUUAUCAAUGAUGCCACUUAUGCUUUUCAUGAUGCUUAUGAUGAAACUAUUUCUAUGCUUGAUAAUACUGUGCCAUUAGGUGAAUUUAUUGAUGAACAACUUGCUAGGGUUAGAGAGAAUGAAAUUAUUGAAACUGAUAAUAUUGAUGAAAGUGACGAUGAAGAUUCUCCCCCUAGAUAUGAAUUGCCUGUUGUGCCUGAGGGUUAUGUUAUGGAUGAAGCAACUGCUAGAGACAUUUUAGCUUGCAAUUAUAGAUAUGAUCUUAAGAAACUGUUAGCUAAGCUGAAAAAAAAUCAUUGA